UCUCUAAGCAAUGGAUGUCUUGGCUCCUCACACGAUGAAGAACGUGGCAUAAUGUGUUAAGUAACCGGAGUUGCAAACAUCAUGACAGGUUAAUCUUUGAAUGCAAAUUGCGCUAAACUCGAUCUCGGUCGAGAAGCAUGGGUGUGACAGUACUACA
rnacentral:rRNA from 1 species